AAAGCCUCCAAUUUACCUACAAGUAAAAAUAUCUUUUUGUUCUAGAGUUGCUUUUCACUGCAAGGUCCUCAUCCUGCCCUUAAAGCAAAAGGCCAUAGCAAAAUUCUCGCUCCAGGAGAAAGGGGUCACAGUUGCCAGGUCCAGCCUGCAUGGCCUUGGUGGAGACAGACUGACAUGGUUUUUACCCCAGGGAUAGGACCAGCAGAAGUGGACCUCCAGGAGUGUGGCUGGCUGCCUUGGGCAUGAGGCUUGUUUGUAUAGUAAGGUCACUCGUCUCGACUUUUCAGGUCCCACACGAUUCCUUGGGGCGGACGACCAGUGACUGACACAGCAUAUACAACUUGGAGGCCCAGCUGUCCUCUGGAUGCACCACCGCGGUGAUCCCAUCAAAUGAAGAGCUGGUGCAGUCAUAUACCAUCUCUCUGUUGCCCUUCAUGUGUAGUUCAAAGGCCAUCACGUGACCAUUCCUGGAAGCCAUGAACACACACGCCACUUCAUACCAGGAACGGAACCAAUAGAAAAGACAGUUCCACCAAGUCCAGCUUUGGGUGAACAGUGAGGACCACUGGGGCCACUUACGAGAUGGUGGGCAACUGAAGAGUGGCUACAUCCUUGAAAAGUCUCCCCUAGCGAUUGUUAAGGGCUUAACUACUCUGAGGAGCGUUGUACUGGCUGGUUCUGUGUGUCAACGUGACACAAGCUGGAGUUAUGGAGAAAGGAG
rnacentral:lncRNA from 1 species